rnacentral:rRNA from 1 species
UAAUACGUAGGGACCAAGCGUUGUUCGGAUUUACUGGGCGUAAAGGGCGCGUAGGCGGCAAUUCAAGUCAGUUGUGAAAUCUCCGAGCUUAACUCGGAACGGUCAACUGAUACUGUUUUGCUAGAGUACAGAAGGGGCAAUCGGAAUUCUUGGUGUAGCGGUGAAAUGCGUAGAUAUCAAGAGGAACACCUGAGGUGAAGACGGGUUGCUGGGCUGAUACUGACGCUGAGGCGCGAAAGCUAGGGUAGCAAACGGGAUUAGAUACCCCGGUAGUCCUAGCCCUAAACGAUGUAUGCUUGGUGUCUGGAGUAUUAAUUCUCUGGGUGCCGUCGCUAACGUUUUUAGCAUACCGCCUGGGGAGUACGCACGCAAGUGUG